CCUACGGGAGGCAGCAGUGAGGAAUAUUGGUCAAUGGGCGCAAGCCUGAACCAGCCAAGUCGCGUGAGGGAUGACGGUCCUAUGGAUUGUAAACCUCUUUUGUCGGGGAGCAAAGCCCGCCACGUGUGGCGUCAAGGAGAGUACCCGAAGACAAAGCAUCGGCUAACUACGUGCAAGCAGCCACUGUCAUAAGAAGGAUGCGAGCGUUAUCCGGAUUUAUGUGGUUUAAGGGGUGCGUAGGCGGAAGGUUAAUUCAGCGGUCACAUGUCGGUGCUCAACACCGGCCUGCCGUUGAAACUGGUCUUCUUGAGUGAGCGAGAAGUAUGCGGAAUGCGUGGUGUAGAGGUGAAAUGCAUAGAUAUCACGCAGAACUCCGAUUGCGAAGGCAGCAUACCGGCGCUCAACUUACGCUGAGGCACGAAAGCGUGGGGAUCGAACAGGAUUAGAUACCCUUGUAGUC
rnacentral:rRNA from 1 species